rnacentral:rRNA from 1 species
UACGUAGGGGGCUAGCGUUGUCCGGAAUCAUUGGGCGUAAAGAGCGUGUAGGCGGCUUUACAGGUCCGUUGUGAAACUCGAGGCUCAACCUCGAGACGCCGGUGGAAACCGUAAGGCUAGAGUCCGGAAGAGGAGAGUGGAAUUCCUGGUGUAGCGGUGAAAUGCGCAGAUAUCUGGAGGAACACCGGUGGCGAAGGCGGCAUCCUGGACCAACACUGACGCUGAGUGAGCGAAAGCCAGGGGAGCAAACGGG